rnacentral:rRNA from 1 species
UGGGGAAUAUUGCACAAUGGGCGAAAGCCUGAUGCAGCGACGCCGCGUGAGGGAUGACGGCCUUCGGGUUGUAAACCUCUUUCAGCAGGGACGAAGCGCAAGUGACGGUACCUGCAGAAGAAGCACCGGCUAACUACGUGCCAGCAGCCGCGGUAAUACGUAGGGUGCAAGCGUUGUCCGGAAUUACUUGGCAUAAAGAGUUCGUAGGCGGUUUGUCGCGUCGUUUGUGAAAACCAGCAGCUCAACUGCUGGCUUGCAGGCGAUACGGGCAGACUUGAGUACUGCAGGGGAGACUGGAAUUCCUGGUGUAGCGGUGAAAUGCGCAGAUAUCAGGAGGAACACCGGUGGCGAAGGCGGGUCUCUGGGCAGUAACUGACGCUGAGGAACGAAAGCGUGGGUAGCGAACAGG